GGCUGACGGACGUGAGCUCGGCCGGCGCUUCGGGUCCGGCCACUUCCGGGAGCUCCGGCGCAGGCGCACUCUGCGCGGGGCCCUUUCGCCGUCCGCGGUCACGUGAAGGUGUCACGGCGACGCCGGUUACCUGGGCCUAGCUCGCCCUGCGCUGUGCUCUAAGAUCCGGGCUUUCGCUGCAUCUGGACUUCUUGUCUUCGUACUUAGUGCCGCGGUGGGUGGACCGAGUACUUUCAUUUAAGAAUAACUGUACCUCCACUCGAAUGACUCCCUGCUGAAGUAUUCCUGUUACUGCCACCUGCGAGAGUUUGCGCCUAAGUUCCCAAGACCUUACAGCCCCAGGGUUAUUGUGACCUAUGAUAGUUAAUUCAGCUAUUAUUGACGGGCUGCUGUGUACAGGCACUGAGUGCACAGUAAACCUAGUAGGCAAAGACUCUGCCAUUGUGCCUCUCACAGUCAGUUAAGGACACAGACCUAAGGAACAUUGAAGAAAUUUGAAUAUAGAUGGACUGAGUACUAGAUAAGAUGAAACUGCAUUGCCAUGGAAAGGUGGAGAUCAUUAACUGAAAAGAGCAAGUCACAGAACAAAUUGCUCCAGGGAAAACACCACCGCUGUCCCACUGAGCACAAAUACGCCAUGGCAAAGGAUGCUGGACCCUAGGGGCUUUCACCUGAACCUCUGCAACUGCUGCUUCUGGGGGUAGUACUGCCAACCUACCAGAAGGGUUUCUGCAUGCUUCAUGCAUCUUCAUGUCACCAGAUUUCACAGAGGGAAACAGUAAUUUGAUCCUACCUUUUAGUAUUUAUUAACCUGUUAGAUGAAAAGUAGUAUCUCAUUGUGCUUUUAAUCUUUAUGUUUAAUAGAUGAAUCAAUUAUGAAUGAAAUCAAAACUCUUGUGUUAUCUAUAUUUCUUUUUCUGUUAACUGCUUGUUUUUAUCCUUUGGAAAUUUUUUCUACUGGAUUACUCAUUGACUUAUUGACAUUAUUUAUUGAGUUAUAAAUGCUCUUUGUUUUAUUAAUCAUCCAUUUGUCAUGUAUUCUACAUUACCCUUUUGUCAUUUGUCUUUUGG